GAGGCCGACGCAGCGAUACUGGUCAUCGACCACCAGCAGCUUUUCGAUACGGUUCUGAUGCAGCAUCUUCUUGGCUUCAGUCUGGCUGACGCCUUCCCUCACCGUGAUGAGGUUCUGAUGCGUCAUCAGUUCCGAAACCUUCUGCUCCGGAUCGGUUGCAAAGCGCACGUCGCGGUUGGUCAGAAUGCCGCCCAGCUUGCCCGGCUGGCCGUUGCCGCCG
rnacentral:misc_RNA from 1 species